rnacentral:rRNA from 1 species
UGCUAAUCUGCGAUAAGCGUCGGUAAGGUGAUAUGAACCGUUAUAACCGGCGAUUUCCGAAUGGGGAAACCCAGUGUGUUUCGACACACUAUCAUUAACUGAAUCCAUAGGUUAAUGAGGCGAACCGGGGGAACUGAAACAUCUAAGUACCCCGAGGAAAAGAAAUCAACCGAGAUUCCCCCAGUAGCGGCGAGCGAACGGGGAGCAGCCCAGAGCCUGAAUCAGUGUGUGUGUUAGUGGAAGCGUCUGGAAAGGCGUGCGAUACAGGGUGACAGCCCCGUACACAAAAAUGCACAUGCUGUGAGCUCGAUGAGUAGGGCGGGACACGUGGUAUCCUGUCUGAAUAUGGGGGGACCAUCCUCCAAGGCUAAAUACUCCUGACUGACCGAUAGUGAACCAGUACCGUGAGGGAAAGGCGAAAAGAACCCCGGCGAGGGGAGUGAAAAAGAACCUGAAACCGUGUACGUACAAGCAGUGGGAGCACGCUUAGGCGUGUGACUGCGUACCUUUUGUAUAAUGGGUCAGCGACUUAUAUUCUGUAGCAAGGUUAACCGAAUAGGGGAGCCGAAGGGAAACCGAGUCUUAACUGGGCGUUAAGUUGCAGGGUAUAGACCCGAAACCCGGUGAUCUAGCCAUGGGCAGGUUGAAGGUUGGGUAACACUAACUGGAGGACCGAACCGACUAAUGUUGAAAAAUUAGCGGAUGACUUGUGGCUGGGGGUGAAAGGCCAAUCAAACCGGGAGAUAGCUGGUUCUCCCCGAAAGCUAUUUAGGUAGCGCCUCGUGAAUUCAUCUCCGGGGGUAGAGCACUGUUUCGGCAAGGGGGUCAUCCCGACUUACCAACCCGAUGCAAACUGCGAAUACCGGAGAAUGUUAUCACGGGAGACACACGGCGGGUGCUAACGUCCGUCGUGAAGAGGGAAACAACCCAGACCGCCAGCUAAGGUCCCAAAGUCAUGGUUAAGUGGGAAACGAUGUGGGAAGGCCCAGACAGCCAGGAUGUUGGCUUAGAAGCAGCCAUCAUUUAAAGAAAGCGUAAUAGCUCACUGGUCGAGUCGGCCUGCGCGGAAGAUGUAACGGGGCUAAACCAUGCACCGAAGCUGCGGCAGCGACGCUUAUGC